AGUAGUGGGGGAUAGCCCGGCGAAAGCCGGAUUAAUACCGCAUACGACCUACGGGUGAAAGCAGGGGAUCGCAAGACCUUGCGCUAUUAGAUGAGCCGAAGUCGGAUUAGCUAGUUGGUGAGGUAAAGGCUCACCAAGGCGACGAUCCGUAGCUGGUCUGAGAGGACGACCAGCCACACUGGAACUGAGACACGGUCCAGACUCCUACGGGAGGCAGCAGUGGGGAAUAUUGGACAAUGGGGGCAACCCUGAUCCAGCGACGCCGCGUGUGUGAAGAAGGCCUGCGGGUUGUAAAGCACUUUUAGUGGGGACAAAAAGCCGAGGGUUAAUACCUUUCGGUCUUGAUUUAACCCAAAGAAAAAGCACCGGCUAACUCUGUGCCAGCAGCCGCGGUGAUACGUAGGGUGCAAGCGUUAAUCGGAAUUACUGGGCGUAAAGCGUGCGCAGGCGGUUAUAUAAGUCAGAUGUGAAAUCCCCGGGCUCAACCUGGGAACUGCAUUUGAGACUGUAUGGCUAGAGUGUGUCAGAGGGGGGUAGAAUUCCACGUGUAGCAGUGAAAUGCGUAGAUAUGUGGAGGAAUACCGAUGGCGAAGGCAGCCCCCUGGGAUAACACUGACGCUCAUGCACGAAAGCGUGGGGAGCAAACAGGAUUAGAUACCCUGGUAGUCCACGCCC
rnacentral:rRNA from 1 species